CCUACGGGAGACAGCAGUGAGGAAUAUUGGUCAAUGGACGAGAGUCUGAACCAGCCAAGUAGCGUGAAGGAUGACUGCCCUAUGGGUUGUAAACUUCUUUUAUAAAGGAAUAAAACGAGGCACGUGUGCCUUUUUGCAUGUACUUUAUUAAUAAGGAUCGGCUAACUCCGUGCCAGCAGCCGCGGUAAUACGGAGGAUCCGAGCGUUAUCCGGAUUUAUUGGGUUUAAAGGGAGCGUAGAUGGGUUGUUAAGUCAGUUGUGAAAGUUUGCGGCUCAACCGUAAAAUUGCAAUUGAUACUGGCAGUCGUGAGUACAGUUGAGGUAAGCGGAAUUCGUGGUGUAGCGGUGAAAUGCUUAGAUAUCACGAAGAACCCCGAUUGCGAAGGCAGCUUACUAAACUGUGACUGACAUUGAUGCUCGAAAGUGUGGGUAUCAAACAGGAUUAGAUACCCCAGUAGUC
rnacentral:rRNA from 1 species